rnacentral:lncRNA from 1 species
CAUUGGUAGUUUGAUAGGAAUAGCAUGGAUCUGUAAGUUUCUUUAGGCAGUAUGGCCAUUUAAACAAGAUUGAUUCAUUCUGUUCAUGAGUAUGGCAUGUUUUCCAUUUGUUUGUGUCACCUCUGACUAUUUUGAGCAGUAUUUUGUAUCUCCACAAUUCUCAUUGUAGAGAUAUUUCACCACCCUGGUUAGCUAUAUUUAUAGGUAUUUUAUUCUUUUAUUGGUAGAAGUAGUCUUUUAAUCCACAAACAUUUAUUGAAUGUCAACUCUAUGCCAUACAUUUCAAAGCACUUGGGAUAUGUCGAUGAACAAAGCAAACAUCCCUGCCCUCACAGAGCUUAAAUUCUAGCAGACAAGACAAAUACUAAGCAAAAUAAAUGAGUCAAGUAUACACACACACAUUUUAUAUUACAAGGCAAUACGUGCUAUAAAAACAGAAAGAUGAGUAUGACGGGGUUGUAGGGAACAUCCAAUUUGAAUAUUAUGAAAUGGCAUCUGUAUCUUUUGAGCAAAAACUUGGGGUCAUGUUGCCCUAUAUAAGAACAGUUUAAAGGGAAUGAUGAAAAAGUCUGAAGGCACGUGAGUAAGUGAGAACAUGGGAUGAGGAAUGACUUGUAAACAUCAAGUACAAAUGACCCUAUAAAACAAUUUUCGUGCCAACCUGAACAUCAAAAAAAGGCAAGAUAAGAUUCCAUUUGUCUGUUGGUUUAAGAUGGGAAAAAUAAUAGUUGGUAGAAGUAACCCAUGAAGUUGAAACUGAAGAAGGAAUGAGAUCUAGAGCACAGAGAAAAGGACUAGCUAGAGAUACAUGCGAGGCUAGUUCAUCUGUGGUCCUGGCUGCAUAGCAUCGCAUAUAGACUCAAGUAGUGAUGUGGUAGGAAAGUUGACAUGAUGCUAGGGAUGGUUCUUCUCUGAUCACUUCUUGUCAUGAGAUUAUUGGAUAAAAGUCAGGAUGUGGGGAGGUGCUAUUGAUCUGAGCAAAGAAAAGAAUGUAGAAAAGAAAUGAUGUAGGAAUGUAGAAAAGAAAUGAUGUAGGAAUGUAGAGAAUUGUCUAGGAAAGUAGGGAAUUAGUGCACUAAGGAAGUAUGCAUGAUUGGAAGCAUAAGGGUGUAGUCAUGAGUGGGAGUCAAGGGUGUAACAUGAGACCAUUGGCGUGGUUGUAUUUUUACUCCAGCCAUAUUCAGCUCAUGGGUGCAGCCCUGAACUAGGCAGAAAGUUGAGUUUAUUUAAGAUGUGGUGUUUUCAAGUGAGAAUGCAGCAUUGUGUAUGCAAGGAGUGUUUAAAUUAGUUGCCAUGUAAUUUGCAAUAUAAGCUGGAAAGGAGGGGAGGAAAGGUGAGAGACAGUGAGGAGGGAGUAGGAUCAGUGGAUCAGGAGGGUUAGAAUUAGAGGUCUGUAGGCAUGAACUAGAAGUAAAAGAGGCAGGGGUAAUUUAGUGGGAUGGUGGGCCUAAGAUUUCAGAUUGGUUGCUAACUGCAGCUUUUGGCAAGGACAAGGUCUAGGGUGAGUCCAAAGGCCAGAGUAGGCAGGGUGUUAUAAUUUCACGAAACACAGUUCCUGGCAGAGCCUUCCUUACUCCCUCAGAGGGAUUCACAUGCCUCACUCUGUUUCCGUAAUUCCCUAUGAGUAUGCAUUGUAUUUCAUUUUCAUUGUUGUUAUAUUCGGUUGAACCACACAAAAUGGCCAAUGUUUGACUGUUUUGCCUGUAAAAAGGGCAGAUUCAUGUGGCUCAACCUAAUGUUUGUACUAGUCUGAGCUGCUUAAGAAUAGGGACUGUUACAUUUCUCUAUUUCUAGCCCUUAUCACAGUGUCUCUGGUAUAACUGGAAUUCAUUAAAUAUUUGCUGAAUAAAUAAAUAAAUGCAAUUCCAUUAAUAAAAUUCACACAAAAAAGUUUGAAGGCAACAUCUGGUGUAUUUCGGUGGGUGGAGUUUUUCAAAGCAUACUGGAGAUUUAAAGGAAAGACAAGGGUGCUUUCUGGAGACAUUGGUGAUUGUUGAGUAGGUGUGAUGGCUUCUUUAAUCCAAAUCAGACCUGUGUUCUGAGCUUCGGCUUUGGUGGUUAUCUCUUCCAUUGAGUAUUGCCAGCACCUGGACCUGCACAGGAAGUGCUUCCCAUGGUGGCUCUGAAUGUGGGCUGGGGGUUCCAUCCUUCACAGCACGUGGCCAUGCACAGGAGCAGCAGCCAUCUUUCUACACAGUCAUAGAUACCACACAGGUGCAAUAAAACCGGAAGCUCUCCUUUCUGCUUUAACAGACACAGUUAUUUCACUCGCAGACAUCUUUCCCAGAAAAAAAAGAGAUGCAGAUUUAGACUUAUUCAAAUGUGUUCAUAGCAUUUUUCUGUGUAAUGGGAUUGGUUGGUCCCCUCCUUACAUCACAGUGACUGUCAUAAUUCCCUGCUUCUCUCUGAGGUCCCAAGGGAAACUAGAGUCUUUGAGCACCUGCUGGGCUGGGCAGUGAUGGGUCCUUUAUAGCCACCAUCUGAAAAAACAGAAAAGGGCAGGAUGAGCAGCGCUCAAAACCUCCCACUACUGCUGCUGUCUGUCCGGUCCUAGACAAGUUGUCUGCAUUUGUUAGAUGUGGACGAAUAGUAGUACCAACUUCUAAUGUUGCAGUGGGGAUUGGCAGACCACAGCCCCAGACCAGCCCUACAGGAGUUUGCUCCAAGCGCCACUGGCCUGGCCCAGCACACAGGUUGCCUCGUCCGCCGCCUCCCCACAGCACCUUUCCUGAAUUCUGUCGGCAUUGAGACCCAUCUCCUCUUUCUCUGUCUCUCUUUGCCUGACCCUCGUCCAUUCUCCUAGUGGGCAGGAUGCUGUCAGCUAUUGCUAUUUGGAGGGUGAGAUGACCCCUGAGUAGAAAUAACUCCUAUAAGUUCAGAGGUUCAGCCUUUAACAAACUCACAUUCCUGUUUGACUGACAGAUCUCCCAGAAAGGAAAAUAAAAGCACCUUGAGGACAGA